rnacentral:rRNA from 1 species
GAGCGCUCGUAGCAAUACGGGAGCGGCGAACGGCGUAGGAAUUCAUAGGAACGUACCCUCAGGACGGGGAUAGCUACGGGAAACUGUAGGUAAUACCCGAUGAUCUCCGCGGAGCAAAGGUGUGAUUCCGCCUGAGGAGCGGCUUAUGCGAUAUUAGCUAGUUGGCGAGGUAAUGGCUCACCAAGGCGAAGAUGUCUAGGGGGUGUGAGAGCAUGGCCCCCACGACCGGAACUGAGAUACUGUCCGGACACCUACGGGUGGCUGCAGUCGAGAAUCUUCCGCAAUGGACGAAAGUCUGACGGAGCGACGCCGCGUGCGGGAUGAAGGCCCUUGGGUUGUAAACCGCUGUCAGAGGGGAUGAAAUCUUCGGAGGUACUCCUCCGAAGUUGACAGAGCCUCAAAGGAAGCACGGGCUAAGUACGUGCCAGCAGCCGCGGUAACACGUACUGUGCGAACGUUAUUCGGAAUCACUGGGCUUAAAGGGUGCGUAGGCGGCGAUUCAAGUCAGAUGUGAAAUGCCUGAGCUCAACUGAGGCAUUGCGUUUGAAACUGAUUCGCUUGAGUAUUUCAGGGGUGUGCGGAACUGCCAGUGGAGCGGUGAAAUGUGUUGAUAUUGGCAGGAACACCGGAGGCGAAAGCGGCACACUGGGGAAUAACUGACGCUGAGGCACGAAAGCCAGGGGAGCGAACGGGAUUAGAUACCCCGGUAGUCCUGGCUGUAAACGAUGAGCACUGGGCGGGAGGGGGUUUCCCCUUCUGCCGUAGCGAAAGCG